GUUUGAUGUUCUCUUGGCUGCAGGAGUUGCUGGAAGGAGGUUACAGUUCCUUUUUUUUGGUGAUGCAUAUGUAAUAUCCCCCUCAUAAAGUGCCCUCUAGUGAGCUCCUUCCUCUGUUGGUAAGCCCCCUUGGCUUGCUUGGUUGCAGCUGCACUCUGAGCAAAAGGACUACCAGAUGUUUGAGAGCCUCACUAUGUUUCAACGUCCACAAUAGUCCAGAGUCAUACUGCAUCAGGGGCCUUGUGGGAAAUGCCUAGAGCCUGGAGCUGCUUGGGGCAGCUAUGACUUUCUCCUAUUUCUGUCAGCAGAAGGCUCAAUGAAGUAGGAGAAUGAGUCAUUGGCAAAUACAGUCAAACCUUGAUUGUCAAACGUAAUCCGUUCCGGAAGACCGUUUGACUUCCGAAACGUUUGACAACAGAGGCGCAGCUUCCGAUUGGUUGGAAGAACUUCUUGCACACAAGCAAAAAAACCUGCGUCGGACAUUCAGGUUUCGAGAAAUGUUCAAAAACCGGAGCAUUUACUUCUGAGUUUUCAGCAUUUGGGAGCUGAAACGUACAAUAAUGGAGGUGCUCAGGAACAGAGGUUUGACUAUAGAAGCUUAGCUAUCGACAGAAAGGGUUGGGUGGGGAAUCUAAAACUGAGUUUCGACAAUCUAUUUUGUCAUUUAUGUCAUUGCAGAACAGAAGAGUCAGUGUCAGAAGAUGACAAGAGGAGGUAUGUUGCCGUGGAUUGGGGUGAAGUUGUACGAUCCAAAAUGGAUUUCCAUUUCAUGAGGAAAGAACACAGGGAAAGGGAUGGUUUUUAGGUUAUUAUCCCAAACCAACCACUGUAUUUUGGUUUAGUUGCAUGAGCAGAGAUUCCUAGGGAGUUUAGCUGCACGUGCCCCCCCCCAAUAUAUUGUUGUCAUCUCAACCUCUACUUUACCCCCUGAUGCUGGGAAACAGUCAUAGCACAGAAGCAAAUUAAGGACCUUUCUUAGAGUAAACAAUGAUGCAUAGAAGGCCUGUGAAAGGCCACAUUCUUUAAACAGAAUGUUUGAUGGAAAACUGCUGUGGGUUAUUCAAAGAGACUUUUAAGAGGGGAGGCUACAGGGUUAGAGCCCUUCCCCCAAUUAGCUGAGCCUCCCUCCGCAUGUUGAUCAGGCAAACAAGAUGGCUGCAGUAGUGAACCGUCAAUUGGUAAUAGUCAAUUGAUCGGUUGGCGCAGUCCGUUUUCUAUGACCAGCUGCACAGUCUGGCUUGCUAUGCCUUGAGAGCUGACGUCUGCUGUGGAUGGAGAAACUGAGCUACUUUCUUGAGAGAGGGAGAGUUGAGGCUGAGAAGAAAGAGGCUGAGCCUUAAAUAGUGAGCUGCUUCUGCCAUUCUGUAUAACAUUCAAGAACUGUGUCUUAUCCGUAUUGUUGGGAUCCAUUUUGAAUUUUAAUAAUAAUAAUAAUAAUAAUAAUAAUAAUAAUAAUAAUAAUAAUAAUUUUUUAUUUAUACCCCGCCCACUCUGGGCAGUUUCCAACCGAAUAUUAAAAACAAUACAGUGUCACACAUUAAAAACUUCCCUAAACAGGGCUACCUUCAGUUGUCUUUUCAAAGUAAAAUAGUUGUUUAAUUUUUAAUUUAAUUUAAUUUUUAAUGCAAUACUGGAUCACCUUGAGCAAGGGGUUGAUCCCAAACAGGCAAAACGGAGACUGGAGCAAGCAGAUUGCUUAGAAUCAUAGAAUCGUAGAAACUGGAAGGGACCCCAGAUAUCAGCUAGUCCAACCCUCAGCUAAAGAAUCCUUGACAGAUGGCCACCCAACCUCUGCUUAAAAACCUCCAAUGAAGGAGAGUCCACCACCUUCUGAGGGAGUCUCUUCCACUUUCAAACAGCUCUUACCACCAGAAAGUUCCUCCUAAUGUUUAGUUGGAAUCUUCUUGUAAUUUGAAUCCAUUGGUUUGGGUCCUACCCUCCAGAGCAGGAGAAAAGAAGCUUGUUCCAUCUUCCAUGUGGCAGCCCUUCAGAUACUUGAAGACUGCUAUCAUAUCUCCUCCAAAAAAGCUGCAUGAUCUAGCAUAUUGAAUUUUACCUCUGCAAUGAACACGCAAGGUCACCUAAAGCAAGCUGCUCCCUUCUACUCUCUGUCUCCCCCCUCUUACAUGAUGGAUGGUAAUAAUGCUAACUUAGGCUACUGGGUUGUUGUACCGAUUGCAACCAGCUAACACAUGUGAAAUGCUUUCAACACUUGAAAAGAUCUAUAUACAAACGUUAAAGUAUUUAAUUUUGCUACUAUUAGUAUUAGGUAUACUCUCAGUUUAAGUUAUGGUUUUCAUGUCGGUGUUUUUCCAUUCCAUUAAGGAACUAUGGAGGUGUUUAUGUCGGCCUCCCAGCUGAUGCGGCUACCAAGAUUCCCACCCAGUCAAAGACGGCGUCUCAAGGUACUUCUUAAAAAGGUGUGUGCUUUUAGUGUUUCCAGUGUGCUAGCAUCUCUAAUUUAUCAUAGUGCUAAGAUCGUUGUUUUGGUGUUUGAAACUGUUAACCACUUAGAAGCCAUUUGGUAUAUAAGCAGCAAACAAACAAACAAACAAACAAACAAACAAACAAGGCAGCUAUGUUCACUGCUUAGAUUGUAUUAGAUCAGUUUGGUGAAGGCUGUAUUAGAUGAUCACUUCUGUUCAAUGACUACCAAGCACUGUAGCAUCUGAGAGGGUCCUUCCCAAAGCCUAGUUAGCGCUCUCCCAGCUUUAGGAAGGAGGGCUCUAGGACCCUGCCAGAGCCUCACACCUCCUUCCCAAAUCCCAGUGCCCACUUAGCCAGCUUUGAGAAAGCAGUGUGAGGGCUGGGGGAGGGCAUGAAAUUUUGGCCUCACUCCCCCCACCCCACAUGACAAGGGUUCCACGUCAAAGUACUCUCUGAAAAGUUGGGCCGCGCUAAUAUAGUUUAAUACAAUUUGAGAUGCUGGGGUGAGGAACCUCUUUCAGCCUGAGGGCUGCAUUCCAACAUGGGCAACCUUGGGGGGGGCACAGUGGGUGGGGCCAGAGGCAAGAGUGAGCAGAGCAACAGAUGUGUCUUUUAUCUUUGUGCAGUAGUCCACAUUUGUCUAUGCAAAAUUCAGAGAUUUCUAAACACACACACACAUACAUCCAUUCUCCAUCAAAGUCAGCAGGAGCCAUUAAUCACAGUUCAAGGACAUAUUCCAGCCAGGCAAAAACACUUGUGGACUAGCACAGAGUAGGGCUGGUGAGGUGUGUAGCCAGAGGAAAGUCCUGAGGGCUGGACAGAGAUGCUUGAAGGGCCUGGGCCUGAGGUUUCCCAUCUCUGCUCUUGAAUGCCUAUGACCUCACUGUAAUUGCCCCAUGUACAGUAUAUGCAUGCUUCCUGCAUCACCACUGAGUAUUCAAUCUACUUCCUUUAAUUUAUAUCUGGUUUAAGUUUUACAUAUGGGUGACUGUGACAAAUGGGGGUUGCCAAAUUUCCCCCAGCAGAGUUUGCCGGCUGGAAAAGCAUGAUGUAAAUAAAACAAAUAAACUACUAAAUGGGUUAGGGCUAUACAGUGGUACCUCGGUUUUUGAAUGUCCUGGAAGCUGAACGUUUCGGUUUUUGAACGCCGAACACCCAGAAGUAAAUGCUUCCGUUUUCGAAUGCGCCUCAGAAGUCGAAUGGCUUCCGCUGCGUGGACAUGUUAUUUCCCCCUGUUUUCUGUAGACCGCCUUUGCGCCUCAGUUUUCAAACAUUUCGGAAGUCGAGCGGUCUUCUGCAUUGGAUUAUGUUCGAAAACCAGGGUACCAUUCUAACUGUAUCAAAUGUGAACCUUCAGGGCAUUCCUACUUCAAUCACAACUGGCCCACUUGCAAUAGAAAGUUCUUUCACCCGCUGGAUUAUAGUCCUUAUUACUCAUGCAACAUUUCUCUCCCAAUCAGUUAUCUGCGUAGACCAUUCUUCGCAAUGGAAUCCAGAGCUGCCUUUCGGCUGAAGAUUUGCAUAGCCAGAAGCAUGAAGCCACCAAGAGCUUCUUGGCAGUGAAAGUUACAACGGCAGAUCAAGAAGCUGGAUGCUCAAAAUGGAACCGAAGCAUAGGACUGUGAUUUAUGGAUCUUUUUGAUGUCCUCCGGUCAACGUUAACUAACAGAUAUAUGAUGGCUAUUUCUGCACAAAAAGCUGAUGCUGUUGAUCGCCAACACUUUGGCCGUACUACAGAGUCUACGGAUGACAAUAGGUCUGGUUUUUUCAUUUGGCUACUUUUGAUAGCUUUUAUAUAACAAGACCAUUACUGCUGUUCAUGCAAGUGUUCCUAGGCUAAGGUUAGUGCAAAUGAACUAUUGAUUUACUCCAGAGUAAUAUAUUUGAGUAAUAUAUGCAGGCUACUGCUGUGGGAAAUAGGAGUUAGGUACCAAUAGGCAUUGCCAGCUAUUUCUAAUUACAACCUACUUUUAUACUGUUAACCUGCCACUGAUGUUGACAUGUCACUUUUUAGAAGUGUAGGAAUUGUUCAGGAAAAAUUAUUUUGCCAGAAAUAUAUUCAAUGAGUUGCCAGCCUACUUACUACCUACUAACGAACUGCCAUUUAUUUCAGUGAGAUGCUAACUUGCCUGCCUACCUUUUUUCAUUUUGUUUUAGUGGCUGAAAAGAACCUCUACUUUUACCAAACAAUCAUGUGCUGUGUCUUUCAUUUUGCAUACAGAUAAUAAUGAUAUAUGUAAAUUAAUUUUUUUUUAAAAAAAUGAACAGAAGGCAAUGGCAGGAAGGAGCUUGCAAGUGCUGCAGCAAGGCAAACGCUACUCAUUUCUUGCAAUGAAUUUCCAUGUAAGUCCAAUUGAACUAAAUGGCACCUGUUCAGCCACAGUCCUUGAUGGACCGUAUUCAGUGCAAAGCUUUAUAGAGACGAUCAAACCUCGAGUCCUGCCCACCUCUUAAAUCUGGAGGUGUUCUGAUCAGCAUCAGAGUUGGUAUCUUAAUCUUGUUAAUGGCAACAUUUCAUUAUGUGAAACUUCAUCCCAACAUUUCAUUCCAACCUCUGCCUUUUAUAUACCAUCCCGUUAAAUGUUUUCAAACGCAGUUAACUUCAUACUGGUGAUCUUUCACUGUAGCACCACUCAGUGUUUCUGCAUGGCUGAAUAUGAUGUAUUAAAUUAUUGAAGCGUUUUUGCAUAACCCUCGUGCUGUCCUUUCUGUUUUGAAGAUGGCACCUGCCCCACCAGCUCACUCCCAUCGCGCUCAUGAUGAUUCUGAAAUGAUCUGAUGGACUGCAGUGCUGUGCACCACUUAGUGAAUCAUGAGCACAUACACAGGGCAGGGAUCUAAAGAGAUUUAGCUGUAGGGCCACUGUAUGAAGCUAAUAGGUGUUGCACAUUAUAGGCAACUGCCUUAAACCAAGCCAUCUAUUCCAGUGUUGUCUAUUCUGACUGGCAACAGCUUUCCAGGCUCUCAGGGAAUUAAGUCUUCCAUGUGGCAGUUUAUUGUGGACUCAGUUCUUCUCAUGCAUACAAUUUCUCCCCCUAGCAUCCACACAACAUCCUCAUAAAAAUGCCACCCCGUAUCCCUCCCCAGUCAGGAGCAAUCGUGUCAACAGCCUGAGCCAUUUGGACGUUCCAGAGGUCGACCAGGGCUUUGACAGGAGCGCCAGUCAUAUCAUCACCCUUAGCAAACCACAAUUCCCAGGGUUAUUUUGAGGAAGCCAUGACUGUUUAAAGUGGCAUGACACUGUUUUAAAUGUAUUAUACAGAUGGGGCCUUAUUAAUUGUAAGUGCAGUCUGGUCACUAAAUUUGCUGUUUUGUGAAAAGGGCUGCUGUGGAAUGUCAGGCAAAAGGAAGCCUUUAACCAGGGGCUUCUCUUUUAAAGGGGAGAUUCUCUCACACCAGGGAGCAGAACAUGCCAGUCAUAAAUCCUGCAUUUCCAGUGUUGUGGAGAAUUUGUCUUCUGCACUUUCCCAUACAUUUUUACUAUCUAGAUAACACUUGCUUUUAGGGAGACACCAAAGAAGAUAUCAAUGUACAAAGAAUAUAUGAUUUACAGAAAUACAGAAGCAAUGCCAUAUUUUAAGUAGUAUCCCUCAAAGUGCUUUACAAGGGAGGCCAAACUCCCUAAGGCAGACAGUCCUUUGUCUCCCAGUCAUACUGUCUGUGGUGCAAAGAGGAAGCUUAAUCCUAGUUAUAGGUUCUGGAACAAGGAUUAUGUUAGAAAUGCCAGAAUAUGCAAUGUUCUUUGAAGGCUUAUGAUCUAAAAUGCCACCCCUAAUGCAACUCUCUGUCUCUUGUUAAUCACUGUUCACUUUCAAUGUUGCCUUUGAAUUUCUGUCAAAUAAGGAAUCUUUUUCUCCUGCUCUUGAAGUCUCCAUUACUGGUUUUCCUAAUCUUGAAAAUAUGGAUAUUUCGAAGUUCCAAUUCUGGGGAAGGGGGGGGGCAGAGAUGAGGGGAAAUCAUAUUGCAUGUAGAAAUGGGUACUAUCUACAUUCUCUGGAUCAGUCUCAAACCCAUCAUGUCUCUACUUGCAGCUUCUUUCUGCUCCAGCCUCUGCUUCCUAGUCCUUGUGACAAACAGACCCUAGUAAUAAUAAUGGUGAACAUCAACAAUUCUGGAAAUGGAGGGUAGUGCUAUACGUGCAGUCUCUUCCUGUCACACCCAGUUGCCCAGGAAGGAUGCUCACAUCAUGCACUCAUGCACAAAACCAAUGGACAUUUUAAAAAAAUAUAUUUUUGGAACCACGCUCAACAGGGCAACUGGAGAUUCACACACACAAAGCCAGUCAUACCUGUUAAAAACUAUUAAGGUAGCAAGCCUAAAUAUGAAGCUACUAAAGAAGAAACAGUCAUAAGAAGGGACCAUUGGGUGACAGAUAUUAGCAGCCUGAAUAUAUUAAUUCAAAUUUGGGUUGAACAACCCACCUUGCUUUGGAAGAGGGGUUCACCAGCUAUGGUCUGCACACCUGAUUCAGGUGGUCCAUAGCAUAUCCACAUUGCAUAUUCCUAUUGAUUGUAUUUUUAUUGCUUCUUUUCUUUCUUAUCCUGCAUUUUAUUGUAUUGCAAUUCAAAUAUGAAAUGCAGUAGAAUAAAAUAUAAUUUAAGAAAUAAAAGAAGCAGUAAAAUUACAAUUACAGAUCAUACAAUGUCCAGCAGCAGCGGAUUAUGAUUGCUGCAGCAACAAACAGAAAAAAGCAAACCAUCACCCAUUUUCAAGUGGUCCAUGGGAGCUGGGAGGGUGUGUGUGUGUGAGUUUGGGAACCACUGCUGUAGAUAAUUUGUUCACAUCUAGCAGGAUUUGUAAAAAUCUAGUACUGCAACUUCUGAAAUGCAUUAUUUGCACUUUCCCAGCAGAGGGCGGAAGAGCUCCAGCAACAGCUGUAAAACUGGCUUCAGUUGGUCACCAGGAACACACACUGAGGUGUAUGUGUGUCUGCUUUGGAAAACUUGACGGAAUAUGACUUUUGAUUUAUUCUAGGUGUGUGUUUUCCCCCCC